GACAGCCAUACCAUAUUGAAUGUACCGUCUCUCGUCCAAUCACCGAAGUUAAGCAUCAUCAGGCGCGGUCAGUACUUCGAAGGGUACCCCUUGGGAACACUGCGUGU